rnacentral:rRNA from 1 species
CCUACGGGAGGCAGCAGUGAGGAAUAUUGCUCAAUGGGCGCGAGCCUGAACCAGCCACGUAGCGUGAAGGAUGACUGCCCUACGGGUUGUAAACUUCUUUUAUAAAGGAAUACAGUGAGGCACGUGUGCCUUUUUGUAUGUACUUUAUGAAUAAGGAUCGGCUAACUCCGUGCCAGCAGCCGCGGUAAUACGGAGGAUCCGAGCGUUAUCCGGAUUUAUUGGGUUUAAAGGGAGCGUAGGUGGGUUGUUAAGUCAGUUGUGAAAGUUUGGGGCUGAACCGGAGAAUUGCAAUUGAUACUGGCAGUCUGGAGUACGGUAGAGGAAGGCGGAAUUCGUGGUGUAGCGGUGAAAUGCUUAGAUAUCAGGAAGAACUCCGAUGGCGAAGGCAGCUUACUGGACUGCCACUGACAUUGAGGCGCGAAAGUGUGGGUAUCAAACAGGAUUAGAUACCCGUGUAGUC